AUUGAACGCUGGCGGCAUGCCUUACACAUGCAAGUCGAACGGCAGCACGGGAGCAAUCCUGGUGGCGAGUGGCGAACGGGUGAGUAAAGUAUCGGAACGUGCCCAGUCGUGGGGGAUAACGUAGCGAAAGUUACGCUAAUACUGCAUACGAUCUAUGGAUGAAAGCGGGGGAUCGCAAGACCUCGCGCGAUUGGAGCGGCCGAUAUCAGAUUAGGUAGUUGGUGGGGUAAAGGCUCACCAAGCCGACGAUCUGUAGCUGGUCUGAGAGGACGACCAGCCACACUGGGACUGAGACACGGCCCAGACUCCUACGGGAGGCAGCAGUGGGGAAUUUUGGACAAUGGGCGAAAGCCUGAUCCAGCCAUGCCGCGUGCAGGAUGAAGGCCUUCGGGUUGUAAACUGCUUUUGUACGGAACGAAAAGGUUUGGGCUAAUAAGCUGAGCUCAUGACGGUACCGUAAGAAUAAGCACCGGCUAACUACGUGCCAGCCGCCGCGGUAA
rnacentral:rRNA from 1 species